CCUACGGGUGGCUGCAGUGGGGAAUCUUGCGCAAUGGGCGAAAGCCUGACGCAGCGACGCCGCGUGAGUGAUGAAGGCCUUCGGGUUGUAAAGCUCUGUGGGGAGAGACGAAUAAGUGCGGGCUAAUACUCCGCAUGAUGACGGUAUCUCCUUAGCAAGCACCGGCUAACUCUGUGCCAGCAGCCGCGGUAAGACAGAGGGUGCAAACGUUGUUCGGAAUUACGGGGCGGCGGGCAUGUGAAUGCGGCCAGAAAGCCCUGGGCUCAACCCAGGAAGUGCACUCGAUACUGCAUGGCUUGAGUACCGGAGAGGUUGGUGGAAUUCUCGGUGUAGAGGUGAAAUUCGUAGAUAUCGAGAGGAACACCGGUGGCGAAGGCGGCCAACUGGACGGAUACUGACGCUGAGACACGAAAGCGUGGGGAGCAAACAGGAUUAGAUACCCGUGUAGUC
rnacentral:rRNA from 1 species